UACGAAGGGGGCUAGCGUUGCUCGGAAUUACUGGGCGUAAAGGGCGCGUAGGCGGAUAGUUUAGUCAGAGGUGAAAGCCCAGGGCUCAACCUUGGAAUUGCCUUUGAUACUGGCUGUCUUGAGUACGGGAGAGGUGAGUGGAACUCCGAGUGUAGAGGUGAAAUUCGUAGAUAUUCGGAAGAACACCAGUGGCGAAGGCGGUUCUCUGGGACGGUACUGACGCUGAGACGCGAAAGCGUGGGGAGCGAACAGG
rnacentral:rRNA from 1 species